rnacentral:pre_miRNA from 1 species
CAGCAGCACAUCAUGGUUUGUGGGGUCUCGUGGCACAGACCAUGGCGUGGUGCUACC